CCCAAGCGCGUGCUCUUUCCACUGCGCCACGCUGCUUCGUGCAGAGAAGGAGCGUGGCACAGUGGAAAGAGCAUGGGCUUUGGA
rnacentral:pre_miRNA from 1 species